rnacentral:rRNA from 1 species
GAUGAACGCUGGCGGCGUGCCUAAUACAUGCAAGUCGAGCGAACAGAUGAGGAGCUUGCUCCUCUGACGUUAGCGGCGGACGGGUGAGUAACACGUGGAUAACCUACCUAUAAUACUGGGAUAACUUCGGGAAACCGGAGCUAAUACCGGAUAAUAUAUUGAACCGCAUGGUUCAAUAGUGAAAGACGGUUUUGCUGUCACUUAUAGAUGGAUCCGCGCCGCAUUAGCGGGUGGGUAAGGUAACGGCUUACCAAGGCAACGAAGCGUAGCCGACCUGAGAGGGUGAUCGGCCACACUGGAACUGAGACACGGUCCAGACUCCUACGGGAGGCAGCAGUAGGGAAUCUUCCGCAAUGGGCGAAAGCCUGACGGAGCAACGCCGCGUGAGUGAUGAAGGUCUUCGGAUCGUAAAACUCUGUUAUUAGGGAAGAACAAAUGUGUAAGUAACUAUGCACGUCUUGACGGUACCUAAUCAGAAAGCAACGGCUAACUACGUG